rnacentral:rRNA from 1 species
GACGAACGCUGGCGGCGUGCUUAACACAUGCAAGUCGAACGAAAAGAGGGAAAGAGCUUGCUCUUUCCGGAAUUGAGUGGCAAACGGGUGAGUAACACGUAAACAACCUGCCUUCAGGAUGGGGACAACAGACGGAAACGACUGCUAAUACCGAAUAAGUUCCAAGGGCCGCAUGGCCCAUGGAAGAAAAGGUGGCCUCUACCUGUAAGCUAUCGCCUGAAGAGGGGUUUGCGUCUGAUUAGCUGGUUGGAGGGGUAACGGCCCACCAAGGCGACGAUCAGUAGCCGGUCUGCGAGGAUGAACGGCCACACUGGAACUGAGACACGGUCCAGACUCCUACGGGAGGCAGCAGUGGGGAAUCUUCCGCAAUGGGCGAAAGCCUGACGGAGCAACGCCGCGUGAGUGAUGACGGCCUUCGGGUUGUAAAACUCUGUGAUCCGGGGCGAAAAGGCAGAGUGCGAAGAACAAACUGCAUUGACGGUACCGGAAAAGCAAGCCACGGCUAACUACGUG